GGACUACUAGGGUAUCUAAUCCUGUUUGCUCCCCACGCUUUCGUGUCUCAGCGUCAGUAUUCGUCCAGUUGGCCGCCUUCGCCACCGGUGUUCCUCUCGAUAUCUACGAAUUUCACCUCUACACCGAGAAUUCCACCAACCUCUCCGAUACUCGAGCCACGCAGUAUCGAGUGCACUUCCCAGGUUGAGCCUGGGGCUUUCACACCCGACUUACGUGGCCGCCUACACACGCUUUACGCCCAGUAAUUCCGAACAACGUUUGCACCCUCUGUCUUACCGCGGCUGCUGGCAC
rnacentral:rRNA from 1 species